CACUAUCGUUAACUGAAUACAUAGGUUAACGAGGCGAACCGGGGGAACUGAAACAUCUAAGUACCCCGAGGAAAAGAAAUCAACCGAGAUUCCCCCAGUAGCGGCGAGCGAACGGGGAGCAGCCCAGAGUCUGAAUCAGCUUGUGUGUUAGUGGAACGGUCUGGAAAGUCCGACGGUACAGGGUGAUAGUCCCGUACACCAAAAUGCACAGGCUGUGAACUCGAAGAGUAGGGCGGGACACGUGGUAUCCUGUCUGAAUAUGGGGGGACCAUCCUCCAAGGCUAAAUACUCCUGACUGACCGAUAGUGAACCAGUACCGUGAGGGAAAGGCGAAAAGAACCCCGGCGAGGGGAGUGAAAAAGAACCUGAAACCGUGUACGUACAAGCAGUGGGAGCACCUUCGGGUGUGACUGCGUACCUUUUGUAUAAUGGGUCAGCGACUUAUAUUCUGUAGCAAGGUUAACCGUAUAGGGGAGCCGCAGGGAAACCGAGUCUUAACUGGGCGUUAAGUUGCAGGGUAUAGACCCGAAACCCGGUGAUCUAGCCAUGGGCAGGUUGAAGGUUGGGUAACACUAACUGGAGGACCGAACCGACUAAUGUUGAAAAAUUAGCGGAUGACUUGUGGCUGGGGGUGAAAGGCCAAUCAAACCGGGAGAUAGCUGGUUCUCCCCGAAAGCUAUUUAGGUAGCGCCUCGUGAAUUCAUCUUCGGGGGUAGAGCACUGUUUCGGCUAGGGGGUCAUCCCGACUUACCAACCCGAUGCAAACUACGAAUACCGAAGAAUGUUAUCACGGGAGACACACGGCGGGUGCUAACGUCCGUCGUGAAGAGGGAAACAACCCAGACCGCCAGCUAAGGUCCCAAAGUCANNGUUAAGUGGGAAACGAUGUGGGAAGGCACAGACAGCCAGGAUGUUGGCUUAGAAGCAGCCAUCAUUUAAAGAAAGCGUAAUAGCUCACUGGUCGAGUCGGCCUGCGCGGAAGAUGUAACGGGGCUAAACNNUGCACCGAAGCUGCGGCAGCGACACUAUGUGUUGUUGGGUAGGGGAGCGUUCUGUAAGCCUGCGAAGGUGNCCUGUGAGGGUUGCUGGAGGUAUCAGAAGUGCGAAUGCUGACAUAAGUAACGAUAAAGCGGGUGAAAAGCCCGCUCGCCGGAAGACCAAGGGUUCCUGUCCAACGUUAAUCGGGGCAGGGUGAGUCGACCCCUAAGGCGAGGCCGAAAGGCGUAGUCGAUGGGAAACAGGUUAAUAUUCCUGUACUUGGUGUUACUGCGAAGGGGGGACGGAGAAGGCUAUGUUAGCCGGGCGACGGUUGUCCCGGUUUAAGCAUGUAGGCUGGUUAUCCAGGCAAAUCCGGAUAAUCAAGGCUGAGGUGUGAUGACGAGGCACUACGGUGCUGAAGUAACAAAUGCCCUGCUUCCAGGAAAAGCCUCUAAGCAUCAGGUAACAUNAAAUCGUACCCCAAACCGACACAGGUGGUCAGGUAGAGAAUACCAAGGCGCUUGAGAGAACUCGGGUGAAGGAACUAGGCAAAAUGGUGCCGUAACUUCGGGAGAAGGCACGCUGGUGUGUAGGUGAAGUCCCUGCGGAUGGAGCUGAGACCAGUCGAAGAUACCAGCUGGCUGCAACUGUUUAUUAAAAACACAGCACUGUGCAAACACGAAAGUGGACGUAUACGGUGUGACGCCUGCCCGGUGCCGGAAGGUUAAUUGAUGGGGUUAUCCGUAAGGAGAAGCUCUUGAUCGAAGCCCCGGUAAACGGCGGCCGUAACUAUAACGGUCCUAAGGUAGCGAAAUUCCUUGUCGGGUAAGUUCCGACCUGCACGAAUGGCGUAAUGAUGGCCAGGCUGUCUCCACCCGAGACUCAGUGAAAUUGAACUCGCUGUGAAGAUGCAGUGUACCCGCGGCAAGACGGAAAGACCCCGUGAACCUUUACUAUAGCUUGACACUGAACAUUGAGCCUUGAUGUGUAGGAUAGGUGGGAGGCUUUGAAGCGUGGACGCCAGUCUGCGUGGAGCCAACCUUGAAAUACCACCCUUUAAUGUUUGAUGUUCUAACGUUGGCCCCUNACCGGGGUUGCGGACAGUGUCUGGUGGGUAGUUUGACUGGGGCGGUCUCCUCCCAAAGCGUAACGGAGGAGCACGAAGGUUAGCUAAUCCUGGUCGGACAUCAGGAGGUUAGUGCAAUGGCAUAAGCUAGCUUGACUGCGAGCGUGACGGCGCGAGCAGGUGCGAAAGCAGGUCAUAGUGAUCCGGUGGUUCUGAAUGGAAGGGCCAUCGCUCAACGGAUAAAAGGUACUCCGGGGAUAACAGGCUGAUACCGCCCAAGAGUUCAUAUCGACGGCGGUGUUUGGCACCUCGAUGUCGGCUCAUCACAUCCUGGGGCUGAAGUAGGUCCCAAGGGUAUGGCUGUUCGCCAUUUAAAGUGGUACGCGAGCUGGGUUUAGAACGUCGUGAGACAGUUCGGUCCCUAUCUGCCGUGGGCGCUGGAGAAUUGAGGGGGGCUGCUCCUAGUACGAGAGGACCGGAGUGGACGCAUCACUGGUGUUCGGGUUGUCAUGCCAAUGGCACUGCCCGGUAGCUAAAUGCGGAAGAGAUAAGUGCUGAAAGCAUCUAAGCACGAAACUUGCCCCGAGAUGAGUUCUCCCUGAGACU
rnacentral:rRNA from 1 species